GGUCAGGUGGUUUAGUAGUCAGGAUGUUAGCCUCGUAAGCUGAAGAUGCGGGUUCGAUUCCCGCCUCGGCCG